GAGAGCUAACAGCUCUUUUAGAUUUUUUUUCUAGCAUGUUUUCUGGCUUUGGUCAGAAAACAAAA